CUGCUUUGCGGCCGGGGACGAUCAAGGAGGAUGCGAAGGGCGACGAAUAAAUCAGUCAAGUGGGAUGCUAAAACAAUACCCGGAAGGUUUCUUGAAAUGUGUUAUGCAUGUCUCUCAUCCUCUCCAUCCCAUCUCAGCUAAUGCUAAUAUUUGGAUACUCCUAGCGUUGGAUCAGAAGCAUAGAUUUAGAACAUAGUCAAGAGUGUCCAGUUUUUCCAUUUUGCCAAUCAUCUACAACCCAAAAAAGAAAAGACUAAUAAAAGUUUCUGGAGAAA